rnacentral:rRNA from 1 species
GACGAACGCUGGCGGCGUGCUUAACACAUGCAAGUCGAACGGAAAGGCCCUGCUUUUGUGGGGUGCUCGAGCGGCGAACGGGUGAGUAACACGUGAGUAACCUGCCCUUGACUUUGGGAUAACUUCAGGAAACUGGGGCUAAUACCGGAUAGGAGCUCCUGCUGCAUGGUGGGGGUUGGAAAGUUUCGGCGGUUGGGGAUGGACUCGCGGCUUAUCAGCUUGUUGGUGGGGUAGUGGCUUACCAAGGCUUUGACGGGUAGCCGGCCUGAGAGGGUGACCGGCCACAUUGGGACUGAGAUACGGCCCAGACUCCUACGGGAGGCAGCAGUGGGGAAUAUUGCACAAAGGGCGGAAGCCUGAUGCAGCAACGCCGCGUGCGGGAUGACGGCCUUCGGGUUGUAAACCGCUUUCGCCUGUGACGAAGCGUGAGUGACGGUAAUGGGUAAAGAAGCACCGGCUAACUACGUG